GGCCAGACUUGGCCCAGCCCAUUAAAUAGUUGUGGGUCCGGUGCCGGUUCUCGCGUUCAGUUUCCGUUUCGAACCACUUCGAGACGGCGGCGACGGGCAUUGCCCACGGGAAGGAUCGCCUGAGUAAGAGGAACGAGCGGCGGCUGGGAGGGAAAGGCCUGUCGAUCGAAGCCUUCGCCGACGCCAAAGCCGGGUGCUCUAAUCAGAGGUAGAUCAAACCGAAAGUCCUCCAAAGCAAAG